GACGAACGCUGGCGGCGCGCUUAACACAUGCAAGUCGAACGGAAAGGCCUGCUUUCCCUUGUGGAUUGCGGGUACUCGAGUGGCGAACGGGUGAGUAACACGUGAGUGAUCUGCCCCCAACUUGGGUAUAAGCCUGGGAAACUGGGUCUAAUUCCCGAUAGGACUGCAGGGUGGUGCCUGUGGUGGAAAACGAUUUUCUAGUGGUUGGGGAUGAGCUCGCGGCCUAUCAGCUUGGUGGUGGGGUAAUGGCCUACCAAGGCGGCGACGGGUAGCCGGCCGGUGAGGGGGGACGGCCCAAUUGGGAAUCGGCCCCCGCCCCGACGCCCGGCGGAAGGAGGGAGUGGGGAACAUUGCACAAAGGGCGGAUGCUGAAGCGGCGAGCGCGCGGGGGGGAUGACGGCCUUCGGGUUGUAAACUCCUUUCGACCGCGAGGAAGCCACCUGGUUGGAAGGGUGGUGACGGUAGUGGUAGAAGAAGCACCGGCUAACUACGUG
rnacentral:rRNA from 1 species